AGUGAACGCUGGCGGUAGGCCUAACACAUGCAAGUCGAACGGCAGCACAGUAAGAGCUUGCUCUUACGGGUGGCGAGUGGCGGACGGGUGAGGAAUACAUCGGAAUCUACUUUUUCGUGGGGGAUAACGUAGGGAAACUUACGCUAAUACCGCAUACGACCUACGGGUGAAAGCAGGGGAUCUUCGGACCUUGCGCGAUUGAAUGAGCCGAUGUCGGAUUAGCUAGUUGGCGGGGUAACGGCCCACCAAGGCGACGAUCCGUAGCUGGUCUGAGAGGAUGAUCAGCCACACUGGAACUGAGACACGGUCCAGACUCCUACGGGAGGCAGCAGUGGGGAAUAUUGGACAAUGGGCGCAAGCCUGAUCCAGCCAUACCGCGUGGGUGAAGAAGGCCUUCGGGUUGUAAAGCCCUUUUGUUGGGAAAGAAAAGCAGCAGGUUAAUACCCCGCUGUUCUGACGGUACCCAAAGAAUAAGCACCGGCUAACUUCGU
rnacentral:rRNA from 1 species